CCUGGGCACAAGUGAGGACAAGGACUCUGCCACUGCCCUUCAUCCCCAGCAUCCUCUAUGAGUGACACAGAGAGGUGACAGCACGGGGAGCACUGGGGCUGGCACAUUCCAGCUGCAGAACAGCCAGAAAAGGUCACAACAUCCAGCAGUUACCAACCUGCCUCAUCUCACCUCUGCCUGCUGCCUCUCAGGUCCUUCCUUAGGCUAACUGCAAUCUCCAGCGUUUUGGAGAUGGUUGAUUACUUUUCUUAGUGUCUCCUGCAGGGCUGGCAGUGCUCCCAGCACAGCUCCCACCACCCCUCUGUGCAGUGGGAACUCUCACACUGUCCCAAAACAAUGCAAGCUCCUUCCCAAGUAUCUCCUAUUUUCCUGCUGCAGGUGCUGAUGGGGAGCUGAUGCUCACCCCUGCUAUUUCUGGAUGACCCCAAGGUUAUUUUCCCUUUAUUCCAGCACUGGGGAAGGCUCAUCCAAUUGUUUCACCCCCUGCAGUGCUGCUGUCUUCUCCAGCUCCCUGAGCACCAAGCAGCUCUCCCUUGGAUUUUGGGCUCCAACUUUGGGCAUCUGAAGAGAUGGGAGAUCAUUGGGAACGUGGGGCGACCCUACAAAUCAUAGCAUGGAAUCACAGACUCAUAGAACGGAUUGAGUUGGGAGGGACCUGAAAGAUCAUCAAGAUCCUGGAGCUUGGAGCCAUCCUAUAAUUAAAAGACAGGAUGUACACAGCACAGGAGUCUGCUCCUAGAAAAAACAACAGAAGGAAUCUCAUUGCCAAGGGAAGCCCGAGCCCCCUAAGAUCUCAGUGUUAGACAGCAGGAUCCUGUCUGCCUCCCUGCAGAGUUUGCCCAGCUCCUCCUGGAUUCCUCUCUGGCCCAUCUAACGGAGGAAGCACUGAUUUUGCCCCUUUUUUCAGGAAACCAAAACGCUCCCCUUGCAGCAGAGCCCCCCUGCACUCCUGGGCUGGCCGUACGGACGCACACAGCAGCGCCUCUUCUUUGCACGGCCGCAAUUUCUCCAAGCACAGGUUGUAAUUUCUCCACCCCUUCCCCUGCGGUUCUGGUGGGACGAGUUGUCCUGGGCUCUGGGUGCAGCCUGUCAGGCUCUCUGCAGCCACUGCUGUAUUUUUAUUCAUUAAGGGAGUGAGCGGCGGAAACUGCCAAAUGUCUCCCGUGGUAUCAGCACACUCUUUUUAAGGUGAUAUGGGUCUGAUCUCGUCAAAAUUAAUGGCUUAUGGUUAUUCAUGCUAUUAUUCUUAAUGGGGCCAAGCAUAUACUGUACCCAGAAAGAGGCAGCGCUUGACUUGUCAAAGAUUUAUGGCACAUCAUGACCUGGCUGGGAUGACUGUAACAUAUAAAAACUUCAUUGCUAAUAACGAUGCUGUGCUCAGAAUAAAAAGGAACGGGGAUGGAAAGAUACUGCAGGCAUCCAUGGAUCACGGUGCUUUCUCGUGUUCGUGGUCUUACAGGACCUCUGUUCACUGGAGGGUACAAGAUGCAGCCAGAAGGGGGCUGCUAGCAGGUGGGCUUCAGGCUUUAUGGCAACAGCCAGCCUUUUAGUUUGCAUUUGCAAAGCAAAUAUUAUCCUUAUGUACCUUAUGAUGCUGAUCCGGCUUUCAAAGCUCUUUACAGAACCAUUGAGCUCUCUACAGCUCCCUGAAAGGAGGGUCAGGUUGGACGUUAGGAAAAACUUCUCCAUCAGAGUAAUUGGGUGCUGGAAAAGGCUGCGCAGCGAGUGGUGGAGUCACCAUUUCUGGAGGUGUUUGAGAAAUGUGGCACUGAGGGAUGUGGUCAGUGGGCACCGUGGGGAUGGGUUGGGGAUCUUAGGGGUCUUUUGCAAACCUUCAUGAUUCUGUGAUGCUAUGACAUAGGAUCAGACUCUCAGAAUGACUGGUGGAGAAGCGCCUGCACCAUGGGAGACAGCAGGAGCUCAGGGAUGUAAUGGGGAAGGCAGCAGAAUUCAGGACAUCAUUUCACUGGUGUGAAAUAACGAAAUUCAGCCGAGCAGGGGAACCCCGUCCUAAUUAAAACUCAGAUGCUGCAAACAUUCGAGCACAGCCUGAACGAUCAUGGAGACACUCAGUGAAACCACCAGGACUUCGGAGGACACAGGCUGAAAAUUGCCUUAAUUAAACAAAAAGAAAGAAAAAAAGCGCAGAGAUUUGUAAACAUUGUGGGACUCCUGAAUGCUAAUUCCUGAGUGCAGAAAAAAAACCAUUCUCCUGUGUGUUUAUUAAAACCAUAUGUCUCUGCCCAUUAGGCUGCAGAGAAAAUGCUUCUUUGUUCUUUUGCUAGAAAGAAACGUUCCUCUGAUUGCAAAUAAAUAUUUCUGUAACAGGGGGAAACCUCCAAGGAAACAGUCUCCUCUAGAAGAAGGUUUGUGUUUCUUCUUUGCUCUAGGUGCAUGAUGUCUCAUUUUUAAUCAGUGCAUUCAUUAUGAUUAGCCUGACAAAUAAAGCAUCCCUAAUUCAUAGCAGGAACUGGGAAGAAAUAAGAAAAGGGCAGCUUGGAACCACAGAUCCGAGGCUUUAAAAUGAAAAAAAUAAAAAUAAUUAAAAAAAAAAAAUAGAAAUUUUGCCCAGUUUUGAUGUCUUAAACACUCGGGUCCCCCGGUUCAUUACGAGA